CAUGUUCGCUAUUUGCGUUUUGAAUUGUUUGAUUUAAACUCUCCCAGAUGUUCGUGGAUUUUGAUGAUAUGGAUUUUAGAUGACUUCGAGACAUGUACAGGUAAGGUUUUCUCCCGUCUCAUAAAGUAGUCGAUCGUUUAUGAAUAAUAUGAGUUUUUAUUUUCAAAUCGAUACUGGACACUGUAUGUCCUAUUAAACCAGUUUGACGUUCAAAUCAUUUAAUCGAAAUCUGCAGCUUUAUAAAGUUAGUUUUCAUUGUGAUAUUCGUUUGAAAUUCGCCUGUGGUGGAAAGAGGUCAUGUAAAAGUCGCGCAUUUACCAUGUUUUUACCAUAGUAACAUGUCGCUGAACCAUGUCACGUGUUAUAAAACCUCAGUAACCACAACUCAAUGUAUCUCCCGUCAUAACUGUAGUUUUACUUUGGUAUUUGUAGUAUAAACACGUUACCAUGCUUUUCACCACAGUAACUGUGCUUAUUGUGUACUCUUUAGUUAAGUAACACAUUUGCCAUGCCUUUAAUACCUUUUUGUAAUGUAAUUGUGAUUCAGUGUUUUUUUUCUUUUCAGUUUUGCAGUUUCUUCAUAUCACAUACAUCUCCAGCUCCUACAACAACAUUCAGUGUCCAGCAGCUCUUUAUGAUGCUCUCUCUCUCUCUCUCUCUCUCUCUCUCUCUCUCUCUCUCACUCUCUCUCUCUCUCUCUCUCUCUCUCAUUUUCGUUUCCUAUUUUUCUGAACUGUAAUUCAUAAAUAAGUCACACAUAUUUUUCUUUCUUUCUCUUGUUCAUCAUGGCAUAUUUUCACAGCUCAGAAUCAGAUUUUGAUCAGUUCUUGUAUUAACAGGGAACUUGUACUCGAAGCUCAACUUGAAGAAGUUUCCAGUGAAGAUGAAGUCCUUCAAAGGUUCGACACAGCUGAAAAGGAAGACCAUGGGCCUGUCAAACCUUGUUUGUGGAGAGGGAUGAAUUUGACCAUCUUGUGUGUUUACGGAGAAGACCAAAAGCUGCUAUGGCAGAUAUUUCCAGAGGUACAAACAGAGCGGAUGGUUGCAUGAUGGCCUCUUUCAGGUUUGUCAACUGAAUGUCUACUAGUGUGGCUCAGCAAGUUCCUGUCAUGAUCAGCCCUCUCCAAGAAAGCUGAAGAGCAAAAACACAAAGAACAUCAGUCCUGUUGGGGAUGAGGAAUGAACAUGGCUCUAUUGUGCCCAAACAGAAAAGAGUGAAAAGUCCUAGAAUGAACAAAUCAUCAGGGCAUCAUUUCUGGAAUUUGGGCAGAAAAUGACUGAAUAUGAAAGACUGCAGUAGAAGGAAAGCUGGUACUGAGAACAUUUGUCUUCACUCCAGACUAAAGAGAAGCGGGUCUGAGGCCAGAGAUGGAGGAGUCAAUGGUCACCAAAUGCAGCGCUGCAGCCUGAAACUGUGAAGACUGAAUUCCCAAACAGCUGUGUGACUGCACAGAUGUUACGGCCAUAAAAGAAACUUCACAACUGAGAGCCCAUACCUCCAACAACCUUCAACAGGAAUCAAUGGACAUCUACGCAAGGUUUUUCUUUUGUUGAGGACCGUCAGAGACUCCAGCCACACGAGCCAUGUAUUGCUCUCAACAUCACCAUCAGACAGACAUUAUCACAGAACCAGCACCAGCAGACUGCAAAACAAGUUCCUUCAACAGGCAAUCAGACUGAACUGAACUCGUACCAGUAACACCACACACACACACACACACACACACACAUACACACACCAGCAGCCUCAUACUGUGUGCACUGCACUCUAUCAGCUACACUGACUGGACUCUGACUCACUAUUAUUCUGCAACCUGAUAUUCUGUUUGCACUAAUUCAUACUGUACUGAAAGUGAAAGUGACGUGACAUACAGUCAAGUAUGGUGACCCAUACUCAGAAUUUGUGCUCUGCAUUUAACCCAUCCGAAGUGCACACACACAGAGCAGUGAACACACACACACUGUGAACACACACCCGGAGCAGUGGGCAGAGGUAUAUCUACAGUAUACAGUGAUUGUUGUUAAUUGUUUUCAUUUUGUUCUCUCUGUAUAGUAUAGUAUUGCACUAUAUUUUCUACCUGUAUUGAGCUCUUAUGUAUACGGUUUAUAUUUUUGAUACUGUAUAUGUGUUGCAAAUAUAUUCAGUACUUGUCAUGCUGCAGUUUGCAGAAAAGCAUUUUACCACCUGUAUACUUGCAUUCAUGGUAUUGUGAUAAUAAAAUGAUUUGAUUUGAAUUGGUCACAUGACUUGUUCAUCAGUUGUAUUGUUGUGCUGGAUAACAAUUGCAAAUUGUUUAUGACAUUGAAGAAGAUCAUGAUAGAGACAUGGAUUUGAAGAAAACCAGGAGAGCUCUGAUGAUGAGAAGGAAACUGGAUGUGAUUCUUUGGUGCUCAAGACAUUUCACCAUGCCUUCAUCUGGGUUUCUUCAUCUGAUUAAAAUAAAAUGGUUUUAAUGUAACCCAUUUUUAUUUCACUUGAAUAUAAUUUGUCUUAAUAUGCUUCUUUAUCUGUCUUUAUGCUGCAUCCUAGUAAAAUAUUGCGUAUGGUGUUGGAUAAUCAAGUAUGGUGAAUAUUCUGUACUAGAGAUGGUUUUUUGGUAGAUACACCAUUUAAUUUUGUAAACAACACAUAUAAUCACCAUGGUUGUUUUGAUGAAGACAUGAACAUUUAGUAAUAUUAAUGAAAUUCAGUUAGAUGAAGAGCUGCAUUAGAAGAGACUGCAUGGACUUCAUGCACAACUGAAGGUGAUGAAUCAAGGAAAGAUCAACAUGAAUCCUGUUCUGUAUUAUAAUGAAGAUGUUCAUGCACAUUACUGAUGUCUAGCUCCUGAGCAGGACAAAGAUGAGACAUUCUUUACAGAGAUUUAUGAAUUAGGUAUUUUAUAUUAUGAUUCUUUAAAUUGCAUGAAUUGUAUGGAACCAUAAACUGCACACUGUCACACAUUGUCUUACUGAAUGACACAUUGGCCUUGUCUGAUGAAAUGUCAGAAUAUGUAUUUGUUGUCUUUGUUUACUAUUAGCACUGUAUUAUUGCUCUUGAUCUUAUGAAAUAAAUUGAGCUCUUUCCAAAUGGGCACUUAUGUUGA